rnacentral:rRNA from 1 species
UUUCUGUGAACUGCGGAAGCUCAUUAUAUCAGUUAUAGUUUAUUUGAUGGUAAAACCUCUACAAGGAUAACCGUAGUAAUUCUAGAGCUAAUACUUGCCCAGAAACGGUGACUCCGGAAGCCGUGGACUUAUUAGAUCAAGAGCUGACCCUCCUCGGAGGACAAAGCUGAAUCAUAGUAAUUUCGCUAAUCGUAUGGCAUUUGCCGGCGAUGGGUCAUUCAAAUUUCUGCCCUAUCAGCUGUGAUGUUAGUGUAGUGGACUAACAUGGCAUAAACGGGUGACGGAGGAUUAGGGUCUGAUUCCGGAGAGGGAGCCUGAGAAAUGGCUACCACUUCCAAGGAAGGCAGCAGGCGCGUAAAUUACCCAAUCCCGAUUCGGGGAGGUAGUGACAAGAAAUAACAAUACCGGACCUUUUUAGAUCUGGUAAUUGGAAUGAGUACAAUCCAAACUCCUUAACGAGGACCAAUUGGAGGGCAAGUCUGGUGCCAGCAGCCGCGGUAAUACCAGCUCCAAUANCGUAUAUUUAAAGUGGUUGCAGUUAAAAGGUUCGUAAAUCGAACUUUUGGGUUCUCUAAAAAUGGUUCAAUUCUCUUGGA